CCGAAUGUUACCAACUCAUCAACCACUGUGAACAGUACCUACGUUGCUUCGGCGGGGAUACAGGACGGAUCCCGGGUACUACGGGGCUCGCCCCGCCAGAGGACCACUCUAGCUCUGUUUUAUAGGGUUUUCUGAGUAAACAACAAAUAAUUA
rnacentral:misc_RNA from 1 species